GAUGAACGCUGGCGGCGUGCCUAAUACAUGCAAGUCGAACGAAGGCUUCGGCCUUAGUGGCGCACGGGUGCGUAACGCGUGGGAACCUGCCCCUUGGUUCGGAAUAACACAGAGAAAUUUGUGCUAAUACCGGAUAAUGACUUCGGUCCAAAGAUUUAUCGCCGAGGGAUGGGCCCGCGUAGGAUUAGCUUGUUGGUGAGGUAACGGCUCACCAAGGCGACGAUCCUUAGCUGGUCUGAGAGGAUGAUCAGCCACACUGGGACUGAGACACGGCCCAGACUCCUACGGGAGGCAGCAGUGGGGAAUAUUGGACAAUGGGCGAAAGCCUGAUCCAGCAAUGCCGCGUGAGUGAUGAAGGCCUUAGGGUUGUAAAGCUCUUUUACCCGGGAUGAUAAUGACAGUACCGGGAGAAUAAGCUCCGGCUAACUCCGUGCCAGCCGCCGCGGUAA
rnacentral:rRNA from 1 species